GUCCCUGGGGACUCGGGCAGCACAUUCCCCUUCAGAAUAAAGGGCGCCCACGGUCCCCCAGCACCUGCCCAAGCCACGCUCCUGGCUCCCCUUCCUACCCCUGCAGCCCAAGGGUCCCUUCAGCCACCCCCAAGUCCCCACCUGGGCUCCUGCCCCGCCCCUGGCUAUCAGCGCCUUCUCCACCCGGGCGCCUCUGCUCACAGAGCCCCCCCUCGCUUCCCCUGGGAUGGGGGGCCAGGCCAUGACCCUGAGAGGCUAGCCGUGGUCUUGACCUCCCCUGAGCGCCCUCCCCUCCCUCUCCGUCCUCCCCCGGCCCCGGCCCCGGCCCCGUCCUCUGCUGCUGGCCUGUGGGUCGCGCCCCGCAGACUGAGCUGUGCGUGGGGGUCCUGGCGGCCUGGGCCCUCCCGCACCGAACCCAGGCGGUCGGAGCCCAGCGGGGAUGCGCGAGGUCCUUCUCGGGGCUCCUCAGACCCUUUCUCGAGUCGCCUGAGGGCGCUGCUUCCCCGCGGUCGCCCCUGGUUUCUGCGGAGCCGGGGCCUCAGACUCCACGCCCGGGAGACCCGGGGAGGCCGCCGGGGAGGCGCGGGCUCUGCUCCCGGGUACCAAACGCACCGGCUGCCCCUUAGGAGGGACGGCGACCUCCACCCACGGCGCCGGCGCCCAGGGGCGCUCCUCCGGCUCCCGCAGCCUGGACGCCUUCCGAGGCCGCCCAGCCGGGUCCCACGCGCGGCCCCAUCCACAGGCCAGGACUGCCCUCCCGGAGCUCGCGGCCCCCAGCCUGGAGGACCCGGCCCCAGACGCCCUCCCAGCCCUCCCCAGCCCGCUCUCGCCCCGCAACCCCCGACGGGUCUGAGUGCGGGUCUCUGGCCCCGGCCUUUCCCGGGGAACGAAAGCUCCCUUCGCGCGCCCCGGGGAGCGGCCAGGCUCGGAGCGUGGAAACCCUGCCCGCCGCGGGCCGCAGGUUUUGAGCAAGCUCUGGCCUUCCUGAGCCUCAGUUUCCCCGUCUCUACAAUGGGGACGCCGUGGGGUUUUUCUGAGGACCCACAGGAAAAGCUCCAGGAAGCGCCUACUUACAGCACUUGCUGA
rnacentral:lncRNA from 1 species